rnacentral:misc_RNA from 1 species
GAGAUGGUACGCCAAGCGACUUAGGAUUGAUGAAGAUGGAGAUGUUGCAGACGAAUUUCUCGAGGAAGUCCUUGAGGACACACGUUCAAGAACAGAAGAACACCACAGGCAAUAUCCCAAGUUUGAACUGAAGUACACCACAAAACCUGCUAAGAUAACAAGCCUGGCACUCUCAACUGCUGGCAAAAUACAACAUAGAGUGGAACAUCAAGGCAAAUUGGAAUGGAUUUGAUGAUCGUACUUGAAGAUGAGAUUUGACUAUAUUAUUGCUAGCAGAUGCAUUAUUUUUGCUUCUUUCUCUCAGAAGGACCAAUCUUUGGUGUGUGAAUUUCUAUUUGGGCAUUCAAUGUUCUUUUAUCUCUGCUUUGUUG